rnacentral:rRNA from 1 species
ACAUGCAAGUCGAACGAAAUCUUCGGAUUUAGUGGCGGACGGGUGAGUAACGCGUGAGAAUCUGCCUUCAGGACGGGGACAACAGUUGGAAACGACUGCUAAUACCCGAUGUGCCGCAAGGUGAAAUUUAUUUAGCCUGAAGAGGAGCUCGCGUCCGAUUAGCUAGUUGGGGUGGUAAAAGCGCACCAAGGCGACGAUCGGUAGCUGGUCUGAGAGGAUGAGCAGCCACACUGGGACUGAGACACGGCCCAGACUCCUACGGGAGGCAGCAGUGGGGAAUUUUCCGCAAUGGGCGAAAGCCUGACGGAGCAAUACCGCGUGAGGGAGGAAGGCUUUUGGGUUGUAAACCUCUUUUCUCAAGGAAGAAGAACUGACGGUACUUGAGGAAUCAGCAUCGGCUAACUCCGUGCCAGCAGCCGCGGUAAUACGGAGGAUGCAAGCGUUAUCCGGAAUUAUUGGGCGUAAAGCGUCCGCAGGUGGCACAUCAAGUCCGCUGUUAAAGACCAGGGCUUAACCCCGGGAAGGCAGUGGAAACUGAUGAGCUAGAGUACGGUAGGGGUAGAGGGAAUUCCCAGUGUAGCGGUGAAAUGCGUAGAGAUUGGGAAGAACACCAGUGGCGAAGGCGCUCUACUGGACCUGUACUGACACUCAGGGACGAAAGCUAGGGUAGCGAAAGGGAUUAGAUACCCCUGUAGUCCUAGCCGUAAACGAUGGAUACUAGGCGUUGCUUGUAUCGACCCGAGCAGUGCCGUAGCUAACGCGUUAAGUAUCCCGCCUGGGGAGUACGCACGCAAGUGUGAAACUCAAAGGAAUUGACGG